CUUGAGGGAACUGCUCCAUCUUUACGAGGAGGGGGGAGGGGGGAGGGUAUGGGGGUACAGUUCCAGCCAGUUCACAUCACUUAGGGUCUCCGAGAAUCAAGCUGCAAACUGGAAGUUGUACCCCUCGGCAAACCCUUGGGUUGAAGACUUUGGCCUGAGUGGGUGCAGGAUUUGGCCGAAGGCCUUGUUUCUGAUUGGUGCUAUUGGUGAGAGGGAGAUAUUGAUGGUUUCUAUGAUGAGAGAGGGAGGUAAAGAUGGUCACUGAUGGAGAGAGGGAGAUAUUGAUGCUCUCUCUGAGGGAGAGAGACACUGUUGGUCUGUGAUGGAGGGUGGGAGAUAUUUCUGGUCUGGCAAUAACUACACUGGGGCAGUGGAAUUGCAGUGAGAAAAAAUUAGUCACAGGCUGUCUGUACCAAUGCUACUUAUCUCCCUCACAAACAAUUCACAUAUAGUUAAAGUUUUAAGCUUUUAUUAAAGGGCAUUUUAAAUACAUUUUUUCAGCACUUUGUAUACAUAAACCCCCCAUUUCAGGACACCAUAAUGUUUGAGACAAGUGGCUUCUAUCCAGGUGUUUCUGAUUUGUCAGCUGUGUUCAUUUGCUUCCUUAGUGCAGGUAUAAGACGGCAUUCAGUAUCUAGUCUUCAUUCUAGGUUUUUGAUUGUCUUUGGAGUCUGUUAUUGGCACUUGUCAACAUGACACCUGUUUGACAGAUCAGAAACACUCUUCAGGAGGCAGGCGUGGAUGUGUCAGUGAGUACUGUCCACAGAAGACUUCAGGAACAGAACUACGGAGGCUACAUUGCAAGAUACAAAUAACUGGUUUGCCACAAAAAUCUGAGUGGAUGGAGCAUCCUGUUUGGAUUGGCACUAGCCUUGGGACCAGCACACACCAGCAAGAGUGAACCACCAGGGGGUGAUGUUGACCCUGAAUCCUUGCUCCUGCACCUGGGUGAACCUCAAUGUCAAUCUCAUGCAAGUCUCAUCAGCUGAUCAUUACUCAAUCACCAGCAUCACCGCAUUUCUUUGCAUUUCUGACAAGAAUUUCAUGGUAAACUAUAUUUUAAAAAGUAUUUGUGAACCUAGCGUUCAAACAAGUUUUUUUUUGUUUAAUGGAUGAGUGCUUCUCCGUGUGAUUGUCCAUGUGGCUGAGGUGUAGCUGUGCUGUGCUGGGCUGUGCUGGGCUGCUGGAGCCCUUGUAGGGGGCGGCUCUGUUCAUUGCCUCCUUGUUUUACGGUGGUUUUAUGGCUGCAGCCUGGUAUUUCACAGCAUGUCCCAUCAGGCUCUUUACCGCGACAGCGAUAGCACCCCCAUGCCAGCGCACCCCCAAAACUGUCCUCAUGUACACACUUACCUCUGCAGCCCUCUCUGCCUCUAAUUUCAACAAUUCACCUGGGGAUCCGAACCCUAACCGCCCCCCCCAC